UCCAGACUCCUACGGGAGGCAGCAGUGAGGAAUAUUGGUCAAUGGCCGAGAGGCUGAACCAGCCAAGUCGCGUGAGGGAAGACGGCCCUACGGGUUGUAAACCUCUUUUGUCGGGGAGCAAAGCGAGUCACGUGUGACUCAUUGAGAGUACCCGAAGAAAAAGCAUCGGCUAACUCCGUGCCAGCAGCCGCGGUAAUACGGAGGAUGCGAGCGUUAUCCGGAUUUAUUGGGUUUAAAGGGUGCGCAGGCGGGCUGUUAAGCCGGCGGUAAAAAUUCAGGGCUCAACCUUGUCGAGCCGUCGGAACUGGCAGUCUUGAGUGGGCGAGAAGUAUGCGGAAUGCGUGGUGUAGCGGUGAAAUGCAUAGAUAUCACGCAGAACUCCGAUUGCGAAGGCAGCAUACCGGCGGCGAUCUGACGCUGAGGCACGAAAGCGUGGGUAUCGAACAGGAUUAGAUACCCUAGUAC
rnacentral:rRNA from 1 species